UUUUUGGGCCCGGGAAGGUUGGGAUUUUGCCCCCGGCCUAUGGUGGGCCGGAGGUUUUUUUUUUUUUUUUUUUCGUGGGGCCUGCCUAAACAGGUCAAUUAAGUUCAAUCCCUCGAGGGGGGGGGACCGCACCCUUUGGGGGACCUGACAGUUACCGAACCCCCCCCUGUUAGAAAGUUUUCACAAAGAGGCCCGGUUUAGUGGGGAGAAGCCCCCAGGAUUACCUCCGGUGGGGUGCCGCCCAUGGAUGACCCGCCCAUUCCGGGGGCGCAGGGGAUUUCCCAAGGGGAAGUUGAGGACACCCGGUGUUGAGAGGUUCGGUUGAAACCUGUUUAGGAAGAUGCUUUAGAGAAUGUUAACGGGAGGUACUUCCAGAAGGACGCUAAUACGGCCGCAGCGCGUAUAGUAUUUCAACGUAUCCGAUUAUGGGGUAAGGAGCCAGCGGUUAUUAGUCGAAGGAAGCCACAGUUAACUGGGAAGGCUUGGAACUGGAAACUGAGGCAGAGAGGAAGUGGACUCCAUGGUAGCGGUGGAAUGCGUAGAUUAUGGAAGACACCAGGGGGAAGGGGCUUUUGGACUGCAACUGACGUUAGGCUCGAAAGUGUGGUAGCAAACAGGAUUAGAUACCCUGGUAGUCCACACCGUAAACGAUGAAUGCUAGAUGUUAGAGGGUUUCCGCCCUUAAGUGUCGCAGCUAACGCAUUAAGCAUUCCGCCUGGGGAGUACGACCGCAAGGUUGAAACUCAAAGGAAUGACGGGGACCCGCACAAGCGGGGAGCAUGUGGUUAAUUCGAAGCAACGCGAAGAACCUUACCAGGUCUUGACAUCCUUUGACCAUUUUAGAGAUGGAGCUUUCCUUUUGGGGACAAAGUUACCGGUGGGGCAAGGUCGUUGUUAGGUUGGGUUGUGGGAAGGUGGGUUAAGUUCCGCAACGGGGGCCACCCUUAAUGUUAGUUGCCAGCCAUUAAUUGGGCCAUUUAGGGAGGCUGCCGGGGGCAAACCGGGGGAAGGGGGGGGAGGCGUCAAAUUCUCCUGCCCCUUUAGGCCUGGGGUACCCACCUGGUUCAAAGGCAAGUACAAAGGGCAGGCAACCCGGGGGGGUUAGGGGAUUUUUUAAAACUUGUUUCCGUUUGGGAUGUGUGGUUGCAAAUUGCCUACCAGAAGUUGGAAUUGGUUGGAAUUGGGGGACAGCCAGCCGCGGGGAAAACGUUCCCGGGUUUUGUACCCCCCCCCCGUCCCCCCCUGGGGAUUUGAACACCCAAAGCCGGGGGGCUAACCUUUUGGGGGGCAACCGUCUAAGGCGGGGACAGAUGAUUGGGGAAGUGUACAAGAGCGUAGGCC
rnacentral:rRNA from 1 species